AAACUUUACAAUGCUGGCAACAGCGAUAAGGGGACCUCGAAUGCCAGGUUACAAAUCUGGCUGUCGUGAUGCCUAAAAAGCAUUGCAUAGCAAGGCCGGCAAGACCGGUGCCAGCCGCCGCGGUAACACCGGCGGCCCGAGUGGUAACCGCUUUUAUUGGGUCUAAAGGGUCUGUAGCCGGCCAAGUAAGUCCCUUGGGAAAUCUGGCAGCUCAACUGUCAGGCUGCUAGGGGAUACUGUUUGGCUUGGGACCGGGAGAGGUGAGAGGUACCUUGGGGGUAGGGGUGAAAUCUUGUGAUCCUCGAGGGACCACCAGUGGCGAAGGCGUCUCACCAGAACGGGUCCGACGGUAAGGGACGAAAGCUAGGGGCACGAACCGGAUUAGAUACCCGGGUAG
rnacentral:rRNA from 1 species